AACGAACGCUGGCGGCAUGCCUAACACAUGCAAGUCGAACGAGACCUUCGGGUCUAGUGGCGCACGGGUGCGUAACGCGUGGGAAUCUACCCUUGGGUUCGGAAUAACUUCGGGAAGCUGAAGCUAAUACCGGAUGAUGACGUAAGUCCAAAGAUUUAUCGCCCAAGGAUGAGCCCGGGUAGGAUUAGCUAGUUGGUGAGGUAAAGGCUGACCAAGGCUACGAUCCUUAGCUGGUCUGAGAGGAUGAUCAGGCACACUGGGACUGAGACACGGCCCAGACUCGUACGGGAGGCAGCAGUGGGGAAUAUUGGACAAUGGGCGAAAGCCUGAGCCAGCAAUGCCGCGUGAGUGAUGAAGGCCUUAGGGUUGUAAAGCUCUUUUACCCGGGAUGAUAAUGACAGUACCGGGAGAAUAAGCUCCGGCUAACUUCGUGCCAGCCGCCGCUGUAAUAC
rnacentral:rRNA from 1 species